UAGACCGCCUGGGGAGUACGGCCGCAAGGUUAAAACUCAAAUGAAUUGACGGGGGCCCGCACAAGCGGUGGAGCAUGUGGUUUAAUUCGAUGCAACGCGAAGAACCUUACCUGGUCUUGACAUCCACAGAACUUUCCAGAGAUGGAUUGUGCCUUCGGGAACUGUGAGACAGGUGCUGCAUGGCUGUCGUCAGCUCGUGUUGUGAAAUGUUGGGUUAAGUCCCGCAACGAGCGCAACCCUUAUCCUUUGUUGCCAGCGAUUAGGUCGGGAACUCAAAGGAGACUGCCAGUGAUAAACUGGAGGAAGGUGGGGAUGACGUCAAGUCAUCAUGGCCCUUACGACCAGGGCUACACACGUGCUACAAUGGCGCAUACAAAGAGAAGCGACCUCGCGAGAGCAAGCGGACCUCAUAAAGUGCGUCGUAGUCCGGAUUGGAGUCUGCAACUCGACUCCAUGAAGUCGGAAUCGCUAGUAAUCGUGGAUCAGAAUGCCACGGUGAAUACGUUCCCGGGCCUUGUACACACCGCCCGUCACACCAUGGGAGUGGGUUGCAAAAGAAGUAGGUAGCUUAACCUUCGGGAGGGCGCUUACCACUUUGUGAUUCAUGACUGGGGUGAAGUCGUAACAAGGUAACCGUAGGGGAACCUGCGGUUGGAUCACCUCCUUACCUUAAAGAAGC
rnacentral:rRNA from 1 species